rnacentral:rRNA from 1 species
AUUGAACGCUGGCGGCAGGCCUAACACAUGCAAGUCGAGCGAGCGGCGGACGGGUGAGUAAUGUAUGGGGAUCUGCCCGAUCGAGGGGGAUAACUACUGGAAACGGUGGCUCAUACUGGAUGCUAAGAGAUGAGCCUAUGUGGGAUUAGCUAGUUGGUGGGGUAAUGGCGCACCAAGGCGACGAUCUCUAGCUGGUUGGAGAGGAUGAUUAGCCACAAUGGGAAGGAGAAACGGCCCAGACUCCUACGGGAGGCAGCAGUGGGGAAAAUUGGACAAGGGGAGAAAGCCUGAGCCAGCAAUACCGCGGGUGUGAAGAAGGCCCUAGGGUUGUAAAGCACUUUUGUUAGGGAGAUGUUACCUAAAGAAUAAGCACCGGCUAACUCCGUGCCAGCAGCCGCGGUAAUAC